rnacentral:rRNA from 1 species
CCUACGGGAGGCAGCAGUAGGGAAUUUUCGGCAAUGGGGGGAACCCUGACCGAGCAACGCCGCGUGAACGAAGAAGUUAUUAGUAAUGUAAAGUUCUUUUAACAGGGAAGAAAGAGAAAUUUGACGGUACCUGAAGAAUAAGCUCCGGCUAACUACGUGCAAGCAGCCGCGGUAAUCCGUAGGGAGCGAGCGUUAUCCGGAAUUAUUGGGCGUAAAGGGUGCGUAGAUGGCAUAGUAAGUCUGUUGUAAAAAUGGUGGGCUCAACUCAGUAGGGCAAAAGUUACUGAAAAGCUAGAGUAUGAUUGAGGCAAGUGGAACUACAGGUGUAGCGGUAAAAUGCGUAAAUAUAUGUCAGAACACCAGUUGCGAAGGCGGCUUGCUGGGUCGAUACUGACAUUGAGGCACGAAAGCGUGGGGAGCAAACAGGAUUAGAUACCCGAGUAGUC